rnacentral:rRNA from 1 species
GAUGAACGCUGGCGCCGUGCAUAAUACAUGCAAGUCGGACGGAGCGCUUCGGCGCUCAGUGGCGAACGGGUGAGUAGCACAUGGGCAACCUGCCCUUCAGAGGGGGACAACCGCUGGAAACGGCUGCUAAUACCGCAUAGGCGCGGACGGGACAUCCCGUCCACAUUAAACGUCCUUUCGGGGACGGCUGAAGGAUGGGCCUGUGGCGCAUUAGCUUGUUGGCAGGGCAACGGCCCACCAGGGCGACGAUGCGUAUCCGGCCUGAGAGGGCGGACGGCCACGCUGGGACUGAGACACGGCCCAGACUCCUACGGGAGGCGGCGGUAGGGAAUUUUCGGCAAUGGGGGGAACCCUGACCGAGCAACUCCGCGUGAACGAGGAAGGCCUUCGGGUCGUAAAGUUCUGUUGCGAAGGAAGAACGCCGGAGGGAGGAAAUGGCCUCCGGGUGACGGUACUUCACGAGAAAGCCACGGCUAACUAC